UCCACUCUGUAUUUAUCUCUACUCUUCUGCAUAUUUGGCUUCUGGCUUCCAGUUGCAUUCUGGCAAUGAAGAUGAUAGGAAGAAAUCAAGGACAGAGGCAGCAUAACAGAAUGAAACUGGAGAAUUAACUCCCUGGAGUAAAUUUUCCUGCUGGAUUAUAUUGAGUUGACAUCUUUCCAUAUAACCCUUUUUCUAGAUUCCUGUAAUAACUUUCUCUUUUGCCCUUCACGUCUGAAGUGGUAGCAAAUCCUCUUUGUUAGUAGCCCAGAGGUACUAUACCAUCCCAUGUUGACUUCCUGAGCCCUGCCCACUGCUUUGUAAAUAAUCUAUUAAGCUGUCUUCAAUGACCCAGCUUGUGUGUGCCAUCUGAGAUCUACUAAAACCUGGUGGCUAAACCCUGGAUUUUCGGACAUAAGCAACAAUGUAAUGAGAAGAAAGCCCAUAAACAAUACCUUUAAUUUCUACAAGUCUUGGGGGUUUUCAAUCCGAAGACCUGGAAUCAUUUUUCCUCUGUCAAAAGUUGUAGUGGAUCACCAAUGAAAUAACAUGAAAAAAAAGAUCAUAAGAUAAACUGCUGAACAUCUUUGUAUGACUUUUUAAUCAUGCCUUUUCUACAUAACAGUGGUUGCUGGUACUGUGCAAUCUUUAGAAGGACACACAAGGUUAGUGCCCUUUACAGAGCAUUUCAGGGAACUGUAGGUGAACUAAUCAUGGAAGCUAAGACAGCAGAGGAAUGGAAGCUGUGCCUAAUAAAACUCUAGAGAGUG
rnacentral:lncRNA from 10 species